AGUGUGGCGCUCCGCCUCUUUAGCCUGGACAAGCAGCGCGCACGGACGGAGCGCUGCGCACCGAGAGCUCCGUUGCAGGUGGAAUUUGGAAGGAAGACAAGCCGCCGCCGCCUUUCCUCUUUGCGCGGCCUCUUGGAAGGCGCGCCUUUGCUUCGCCGGAGUGAGACGCUGCUUUGCAGGAAAGAGACGCUCCUGCCUUGCCCAUGGGCAUGUUAGCCGUAGGAUGGCCUCUCUGCCCUGCCUUGCCGUGGGGUUUAAUAAUCCGCGAGACAGAGGAGGAGAAGCAACUUUGGGCGCAGCUACCCUCGGAAAAAGUUUUGGACGUAUUUUGCAAGAGCGUCUUCGGUUCGGGUGGGGGCGCGGAGGACGGAUCCACUUCCCUUCUGCAACUGCUUACUCUACCCAGUUCGGGUUGAACGACAGCUUUCCUUGCUCACCAGUGCCGACAGCUGUACCUUUUGGCCAAAAUAGCACUUUGCGUUGGAAGACCCGGCAGCAGAGCCCUAAAAGCUGAACAACUGAUGGCGUAACUCAGGGAGCUUUGUUGGGGCAGCAACAGCACCGGGCGGAUCAUUCUGGGGAGACUGCUGCAGAGCCUGAGUGCCACUGCUGAGUAGACCCUGUCCCACGGAGAAAGACCUUUCCCUAACGGUCACCCAUUUUACUUCAUCUAGCUGAGAAAGCAAAACAGUGUAAGAUGCACUCUUAGUUAUUUAUUUGUAUGCUUAUAUUCCAC
rnacentral:lncRNA from 1 species